rnacentral:rRNA from 1 species
UACGUAGGGUGCAAGCGUUGUCCGGAAUUAUUGGGCGUAAAGAGCUCGUAGGCGGUUUGUUGCGUCGGCUGUGAAAUCCCGAGGCUCAACCUCGGGUCUGCAGUCGAUACGAGCAAACUAGAGUGUUGCAGGGGAGACUGGAAUUCCUGGUGUAGCGGUGAAAUGCGCAGAUAUCAGGAGGAACACCGGUGGCGAAGGCGGGUCUCUGGGCAACAACUGACGCUGGAGGAGCGAAAGCCAUGGGGAGCGAACAGG